rnacentral:rRNA from 1 species
GGCCCCGACCAUAGCGGCCAGGAAACACCCGGACUCGUCAGAUCCCGGAAGUUAAGCUGGCCGCGUUGGGGGGGCAGUGGGGUCCGCGAGGCCCCGCAGCCCCUCCAAGUCGGGGUCC